rnacentral:rRNA from 1 species
AUUGAACGCUGGCGGCAGGCCUAACACAUGCAAGUCGAGCGGAUGAAGGGAGCUUGCUCCUGGAUUCAGCGGCGGACGGGUGAGUAAUGCCUAGGAAUCUGCCUGGUAGUGGGGGAUAACGUCCGGAAACGGGCGCUAAUACCGCAUACGUCCUGAGGGAGAAAGUGGGGGAUCUUCGGACCUCACGCUAUCAGAUGAGCCUAGGUCGGAUUAGCUAGUUGGUGGGGUAAAGGCCUACCAAGGCGACGAUCCGUAACUGGUCUGAGAGGAUGAUCAGUCACAAUGGAACUGAGACACGGUCCAGACUCCUACGGGAGGCAGCAGUGGGGAAUAUUGGACAAUGGGCGAAAGCCUGAUCCAGCCAUGCCGCGUGUGAAGAAGGUCUUCGGAUUGUAAAGCACUUUAAGUUGGGAGGAAGGGCAGUAAGUUAAUACCUUGCUGUUUUGACGUUACCAACAGAAUAAGCACCGGCUAACUUCGUG